rnacentral:rRNA from 1 species
AUGAACGCUGGCGGCGUGCCUAAUACAUGCCAGUCGAGCGCACGGACGAGAAGCUUGCUUCUCUGAUGUUAGCGGCGGACGGGUGAGUAACACGUGGAUAACCUACCUAUAAGACUGGGAUAACUUCGGGAAACCGUAGCUAAUACCGGAUAAUAUUUUGAACCGCAUGGUUCAAAAGUGAAAGACGGUCUUGCUGUCACUUAUAGAUGGAUCCGCGCUGCAUUAGCUAGUUGGUAAGGUAACGGCUUACCAAGGCAACGAUGCAUAGCCGACCUGAGAGGGUGAUCGGCCACACUGGAACUGAGACACGGUCCAGACUCCUACGGGAGGCAGCAGUAGGGAAUCUUCCGCAAUGGGCGAAAGCCUGACGGAGCAACGCCGCGUGAGUGAUGAAGGUCUUCGGAUCGUAAAACUCUGUUAUUAGGGAAGAACAUAUGUGUAAGUAACUGUGCACAUCUUGACGGUACCUAAUCAGAAAGCCACGGCUAACUACGUG